CUUUUAUUUGCUCUUAGCAAGGUUUUAAACCUUCCUGAAAUGGAGAAGUGUCAUGUUCGCUUCAGCAAUGGGAUUAGUUAAAAUACAUUUUUGCUCGGUAGAAAGGAGCUAGUGAGGCUGUAAAGGAAGAAGACAACUUUGCAAGAGCCCUUUUUUCCUGUUUCAUGGAUAUGCUGGCUGGAAGGAGGAUGGGUGGCUGAAACAGCUCUGCUGUCACAGUGAUGCUGGAUCCAGCCAGCUUGGCUGUAGCCCCUUCUGAGAGGAGAGGGCAGGACUGCUGUGUGCAGCCUUUUCUGUGCCUUGGGUAUCACAAACAGUGCCCAAUGAAGCCAGGUCCAAUGUCCAGUGGCCUCUUGCAGUUGCUCCUGAACACAUCAGGCUGCAUUUUCAGGUCAUCCUUGGUACAAGAAAUUGUCUUCAAAAAAUUUAAUAAUCAUCAUUCUCAUCCUCAUCAGCAUGUCAUUGUCUUUUUCCCCCAGCAAUUUGUUCAGACACAUAUUCUGUCUAAGCAGUAGAUGAGAUUCAAAAUCUAAGUCACAGGAGUGUUUCACUUUUGAGACAGCGUCAGGCUCCACAAAGAUAUUUCAGAGUGUUGUAAGCUCCAACUAAACAUGCAAUAAAUGGCCACAGGUUUUUCUCUGGUAUUGGGAC
rnacentral:lncRNA from 1 species